CUACGGGGCGCAGCAGUGAGGAAUAUUGCACAAUGGGGGGAACCCUGAUGCAGCAACGCCGCGUGGAGGAUGACGCAUUUCGGUGUGUACCCUCCUUUUCUCUUUCACGAAAAUGACGGUAGCAUAUGAAUAAGCACCGGCUAACUCCGUGCCAGCAGCCGCGGUAAUACGGAGGGUGCAAGCGUUACUCGGAAUCACUGGGCGUAAAGGACGCGUAGGCGGGUUGGAAAGUCAGGUGUGAAAUCCUACAGCUUAACUGUAGAACUGCACUUGAAACUUCUAAUCUAGAGUAUGGGAGGGGGAGAUGGAAUUAGUGGUGUAGGGGUAAAAUCCGUAGAUAUCACUAGGAAUACCUAAAGCGAAGGCGAUCUCCUGGAACAUUACUGACGCUAAGGCGUGAAAGCGUGGGGAGCAAACAGGAUUAGAUACCCCUGUAGUC
rnacentral:rRNA from 1 species